rnacentral:lncRNA from 1 species
CCUAGUGUUGUUGGGCAUCCACCUUGUCGCUCAGGCGGUAGUCCUAAAUUAGACGGAACUACCCCUGAGUUCAAGCAUAUUAUAACAAUAGCAUAUUUAGUGAAAUUUUAUAAGCUAGGUCUUGAGAGAUUGGAAUAUACACAGAUUUUACUACUAUCUCAUGGAAGUAGAAAAGCUAGUUUCGAAAGAUUCUCAGUUUCAGGCAGCGAUUUCAGGUAAAAAAAAAAUGGAAACAAUGAAUAACAAGAAACAAAAGCAAAAACAACAAUAAAAUAGUGCGAUAAUCGAGAGUUUAAAGCAUAUAUAUUAUAAUAAGGAGAAAAAGGAUCUUACAAUGAUUCUCUUAGUAAUAGCGGGUGAAUUGGGAAUAUUACUAAACAUGAUUUACUUGAAAAUACUUUACAAGUGAUUUGAUUAUGUAUCUAUUUUUUAACCUGUCGAUGCAUAGAGCUUAAAUUCUCUUGUUAUUCAUUGGAAAAUUGUGGAAAUUAAGUUUUAGUUGUCAACUAAUUGAAGAAAUUUGUAAAUUUUGGGGGAAAAUUAACCUAAUUGUUGAAUCUACUGCAGGUAUUUAGUACAUGCAAAUGGAAUUUGUGCAGGUUAUUCACUUUUAUCAGCAAUUGUAGCAGUUGUACCUCGUCCCAUAACGAUGUCUAGAGCCUGGACUUUCUUCCUCCUUGAUCAGGUUCCGCUAUUGUGAUCUCAAUCUAUGUACACAUUUUGAAUCAUUUUGUCAGUAGGUAUAUAUAGUUCGAGACAAAAGGAACAAGGUUCAAUUGAACUUACAAAACCCGCUCUGCUUUAUCUUCUGUUUUGUAGAUAUUGACAUAUGCAAUACUGGCUGCUGGAGCUGUAUCGACGGAGGUGGUGUAUUUAGCAUAUAAAGGGGAUACAGCAGUUACAUGGAGUGAAUCAUGUGGUUCAUUUGGAAGU